rnacentral:sRNA from 1 species
UGAUGAAACAGCAUGUCGAGAUGAUUUG